GGAGAAUCACUUGAACCCAGAAGCCAGAUGUUGCAGUGAGCAGAGAUCACGCCAUUGCACUCCAACAGAGUGAGACUCCAGCUCAAAAUAAAACAACAAAAAGACAUAACUAACUCCAUCUUAUUAAAAAAGACGCCAUUUUACAUUUCAUAGGGCACUUUGCCAAUAAGAAUAACACGUUCUGUUUAAUAAAUUAAUUUUUUUUAAAGGCUGCAUACAACCAGAUAAAAACACAAACACACUCUUCCACUAUCAGUUCUCACCAAAUACUCUAUGAAUAUGAAACAGAUUAGCCCUUCAACAACUCAAAACAGCCAUCCUAAGUGACACUUUCUUGCAGUCACUCAUGAUAAAAACCUGGCAUCUGCCACCAAAGGCUCUACCACCUCCCAGUUUUCCUUACAUGACCAGCAAACCACCCACCCCAGACCCGGACUCCUUUUAUCAUCUUCACUCCUACUAAACUAGUUCAUUAACCCUUUCUCCUAGCUCUCUCUCUCUCUCUUUUUUUAAUGUUAAAUGUUACUUUGUUUAUCGUAAAAUACUUAACCUAUAAUAUUUAUAUAUUAAUUUAAUAUACUAUAAUAAUGUAUGGUUUACAAUAUUGACUGACUUAUAAAGUGACUUGAGCCCGUGUCUCUGGGGCUCUGACUACCAAAGAAACAAAAAGUACUUUAAAAAAAUGGCCUCCUUAAGAACUCCAUAUAAUCUGUAACUUUUGUGAUUAAAAUAACAUCGAUAAAAUCCUAACAUUGUAAAAACACACAAAAAUACAUAGACUUGGUUAUUUCUAACCUUACACCACUCAUGACAGUCGGGUGAUUUGGAGGGAAGGUCAAAUAAAAUGAAGAUUUGCUCUGGAUUAGAUGUUGUUAGGGAAUCGGGUCAAUUCUGUAAUUGGGGAUGUGAAUAGAUAUUAUCUCAGGGAGGGCAGGUUAGAACAAGGAUAAAGCUGUAAUUGGUAAAGAAGUAGCAGUCACUUGUCCUGGCCUAGGCCAUUUCUGCUCCCCCGCGCUCAGUCCUAGCAGAGUAGUCUGGCAGGACGCACAGCAAUCUCCCUCUCAGUUUAGGAGGGCCGUCUCCUAAGAAUAGGGCUGGCAGGAAAGGACAAUUUAAGAUUAAAAAAGAAGAAAGAAAAUGUAGCAGUCAUUCCUUUUUAGCCAAGAGAGGGAUGUUUGAUAUUUUGUGUUUGAUAUUUUGUGGGUGGCACAGUGAACAUAUUUGUUUGUUCGUUUUGUGUAUUUAGAAAAAAUUAUGAAGAGGCUUUGCUUUCUCUUAUUUUAUCAUAGUCUUAGAGUAACUUUUUCUGAGGUUGGGAGACUGUUACGUCCAAUAGGAAAAUAAUUUGUCUUAGCUGUGAGUAUCAAGCCAGCUUUCAACUGUCAGGGGCUGCUUUCUUUUCAUCUUUCUCAGGGGAUAGUAGAGGAGAUAGAGAAACGUAAAUUCAAGAGACAGUUAGAAAACAAAAUUUAUACAACUAGCCAUGGGGGCAGAGGUUGAGGUCAGGGGUAAUUUCUAAGUUUCUGGCUUGCAAACAGAAAGGAUGGCAGUGCCAUUCAGGGAGACAGCAUCAACUUUCUAUUAUUGUCUAAUUUAAUACUUACCAAAAAUAAUAAUAAUAAUAAUAUUAUUAUUAUUUUGAGACAGGAUCUCACUCUGUCAUCCAGGCUGGUGUGCAGUGGUGUGAUCAUGGCUCACUGCAACCUCCGCCCCCUGGGCUCAAGCAAUCCUCCCACCUUAGCCCUCCUGAGUAGCUGGGACUACAAGUCCACGCUACCAAGCCCAGCUAAUUUUUGUAAUUUUUGUACAGAUGAGGUUUCGCUCUGUUGCCCAGGUUGGUCUCGAACUCCUGGGCUCAAGCGAUCCACCCUCCUCAGCCUCCCAAAGUGCUGAGAUACAGGCAAAAGCCAAAGAUACGUGAAAUGUUAAUAUUAAUGGACCCAUUUUACAGAGAGGAAAGAAAUUAAGGCUUUACAGAGAUUAAACAUCUAACCCAUUGUCACAUGGAACCAGAACUCUAGUUUAGGUUUACUUGACUUCGAAGUCAUACUGACAGGCCCGGCACGGUAGCUCACUCCUGUAAUCCCAGCACUUUGGGAGGCUGAGGCAGGCAGAUCACUUGAGGCCAAGAGUUUGAGACCAGCCUGGCCAACAUCAUGAAACCCUGUCUCUCUGAAAAUACAAAAAUUAGCCAGGUGUGGUGGCACAUACCUGUAAUUUAAGCUACUCAGGAGUCUGAGGCACAAGAAUCACCUGAGCCCAGGAGGCAGAGGUUGCAGUGAGCCAAGAUCAUGCCACUGUACUCUAGCCUAGGUGACAGAGUAAGACUCUAUCUCAAAAAAAAAACAAAAAGUCAUACUGACUUAAAAAAUGUAUAUAAUUCUACUAUCUAAUUCAGGCUACUUUCAUCACCCUCAAAAGAAAAAUCUCAUACCCAUUAAGUAGACACUCCUCAUUUCCCCCUCCCUCCAGUCCAUGACAACCACAGAUCUUUCUGUCUCUAUGGAUUUUCCUAUUCUGGACAUUUUAUAUAAGUGGAAUCAUACAAUGAGUGACUUUUUGUGUCUAAAUUCUUUCACAUAGCACAAUGUCUGCAAGGUUUAUCCAUGUUGUAGCAUGCAUCAGCACUUCAUUCAUUUUUAUGGCUGAAUAAAAUUCCAUUGUAUAGAUAUACCACCUUUUGUUUAUUUGUUCAUUAGUUGAUAGUGUGUCUACUCUUUGGCCAUUAUGAAUAUGUUUUUUUAACAUUCCUGUACAAGUUUUUGUUUGAACACAUGUCUCUAAUUCUCUUAGAUAUAUACCCAGGAGUAGAGUUGCUGGGUCAUACGGUAAUUCUAUGUUUAACUUUAGAGGAACUGCCAAACUGUUUUCCACAACUGCGGCACCAUUUUAUAUUUUCACCAGCCAAUAUAUGAGGGUUCCGAUUUCUACAGUACUCGUUAUUGGGUUUUUUUUUGUUUGUUUCUUUGUUUAUAGCCACGCUAGUGGGUAUAAAAUAGUAUUUCAUUGUGGUUUUAAUUUGCAUGUCCCUAGUGACUAAUGAUAUUGAGCAUCUUUUCAUGUGCUUAUUGGCCAUUUGUAAAUAUUUGAAGAAAUGUCUACUUAAGGUUUUUAAGUGGCCAUUUGGCCAUUCUUAAAUGAGGUUGUUUGUCUGUUGUUGUUGAAUUAUAAGAGUUUUCUUCUCUCUCACUCUCUUUUUUUUUUUUUUUUUUUUUUUUUUGAGACAGAAUCUUGCUCUGUCACCCACAAUAGAGUACAGUGGUGUGCACACGGCUCGCUGUAGCCUCGGCUUGCUGGGCUCAAGAGAUCAUCUGCCUCUGCCUUCUAUGUAUCUGGCACCACAGGCUCACAGCACCCCGUCCAGCUAAUUUCUUUAAAUUUUUUGUAGAGAUUGGGUCUCACCAUGUUUCCCAGGCUAGUCUUGAACUCCUGGGCUCAAGCAAUCCUCCCUCCUCAGCCUCCCAAAGUUCUGGGAUUACAGACAUUAGCCACCGUGUCCAACCUAAGAGUUCUUUAUAUGUUCUGGAUACUAGACUCUUGAGCAGAAAAAAUACACAAACUGUUUUUCCCUCUGUUCUCAUACCACAGCAACAGUCAACACAGAACACUUCUGUAAUCAAUGCAAGCAAUCUAUUCUGCAGCAGGCACAAGCUGGGUAUCUUCCAGUUCAAUUCAGAUACUAUCUACCUGGACAUAGUUUCAGAUCCCACAGGUUGAGGGUUCAGUCCCACAAGAUCAUCCCCACCCUCCCACCAGUCACAAGUCCAGGCCUCUGGAACUGCUGACCAGUUACUUCAAGUUGGGGUUCCCAUGACCUUUGUUGGGUUUGAUUAAUUCAUUAGGACUGCCCACAGAACUCAGGGAAAUACUUAUGUUUACUGGUUUAUUACAAAGGAUAAUGACACAAAUAAACAGCCAGAUGAAGAGAUACAUAGGGCAAGGUCUGGAAGGGUCCUGAGCACAGAAACUUCUAUCCCCCCCGAGUUCUGGUAUGCCACCCUCCCAGGACACAGAUGAGUUUGGAUUUUUUUUGUUUUUGUUUUUGUAUUUUUCUGUAGACCUGCACUGUAGACAUGGGUGAGUUUUUGUUUACCUUCUUGUGUUUAGCUCUCUGAAAGCUCCCUAAACCCUGUCUUCUUGGGCUUUAUGGAGACUUCAUUGGAUAGGCAUAACUGAAGCGUGGACAACCUGUAAAAUUGUGAUUAGAAAAAAGGAUAUGAUCAAGGCCGGCCACAGUGGCUCACGCCUGUAACCCCAGCACUUUGGGAGGCCAAGGUGGGCAGAUCACCCGAGGUCAGGAGUUCGAGACCAGCCUAACCAAUUUG
rnacentral:lncRNA from 1 species